GAUGAAGAACGUAGCGAAAUGCGAUAAGUAAUGCGAAUUGUAGAAUUCAGUGAGUCAUCGAAUCUUUGAACGCACAUUGCGCCCUGUGGUAUUCCGCAGGGCAUGCCUGUUCGAGCGUCAUUUCAACCCUCAAGCCCCGCUUGGUGUUGGGCCCCGCCCGCUGUGGCCGGCCCUAAAGACAGUGGCGGCGCCGCCUGGCCCUCAGCGUAGUACAUCUCUCGCUCCAGGGUCCGGUGGCCGCCUGCCAGAACCCCCCAACUCUGUGGUUGACCUCGGAUCAGGUAGGGAUACCCGCUGAACUUAAGCAUAUCAAUAAGCGGAGGA
rnacentral:misc_RNA from 1 species